CGCCCGCCUCAGCCUUCCAAAGUGCUGGGAUUACAGGCGUGAGCCACCGCGCCUGGCCUUUCUUUUUUUUUUUUUUUUUUUUUUUUUGAGACGGAGUCUCGCUCUGUGGCGGAAGCUGGAGUGCAGUGGCGCAAUCUCGGCUCACUGCAAGCUUCGCUUCCCGGAUUCACGCCAUUCUCCUGCCUCAGCCUCCGGAGUAGCCGGGACUACAGGUUGGGCCGACUGCUCCAUCUCUCAAAUCUCUAGAUGUAGGGGGAUCCACAGCCACAUCUGUACUGAAUUAUUCCUUUUGGUUUCCCUACACCCUCUCCACACCAUUGAGAAAAGAGAUAUUUUGGAUGCCCCAGGGAAACAGAUUUCACUCUGUCACCCAGGCUAGAGUGCAGUGGGUGAUGAAGCUUACUGCAGCCUCAACCUUUCAGGCUCAAGUGAUCCUCCUGUGUCCAGAAUUGGUUCCUUCCGGUGGGUUCUUGGUCUCACUGACUUCAAGAAUGAAGCUGCAGACCCUCACGAUGGUUUCGGAAGUGAGAUCAGAAGUAGAGCUUCUAAUGACCCCCAGAAGCACUGAGUGACCAAGUGACACACCUGCCAGCCCC